rnacentral:rRNA from 1 species
AUUGAACGCUGGCGGAAUGCUUUACACAUGCAAGUCGAACGGUAGAGGGGGCAACCCCUCGAGAGUGGCGAACGGGUGAGUAAUAUAUCGGAACGUGCCCAGUCGUGGGGGAUAACGUAGCGAAAGUUACGCUAAUACCGCAUACGAUCUAAGGAUGAAAGCGGGGGAUCGCAAGACCUCGCGCGAUUGGAGCGGCCGAUAUCAGAUUAGGUAGUUGGUGGGGUAAAGGCUCACCAAGCCAACGAUCUGUAGCUUGGCUGAGAGGACGACCAGCCACACUGGAACUGAGACACGGUCCAGACUCCUACGGGAGGCAGCAGUGGGGAAUUUUGGACAAUGGACGCAAGUCUGAUCCAGCCAUUCCGCGUGCAGGAUGAAGGCCCUCGGGUUGUAAACUGCUUUUGUACGGAACGAAAAGGUCUCUCUUAAUACGGGGGGCUCAUGACGGUACCGUAAGAAUAAGCACCGGCUAACUACGUGCCAGCCGCCGCUGUAA